rnacentral:rRNA from 1 species
UACGUAGGGGGCAAGCGUUGUCCGGAAUCAUUGGGCGUAAAGAGCGUGUAGGCGGCUCGGUAAGUCCGCUGUGAAAGUCCAGGGCUCAACCCUGGAAUGCCGGUGGAAACUGUCGAGCUAGAGUCCGGAAGAGGCGAGUGGAAUUCCUGGUGUAGCGGUGAAAUGCGCAGAUAUCGGGAAGAACACCCGUGGCAAAGGCGGCUCUCUGGGACGGUACUGACGCUGAGACGCGAAAGCGUGGGGAGCGAACAGG